AGGACGGCAGCAGGCGCGGAACUUGCCCAAUGCGCGCGCGCGAGGCAGCGACGGGGAGUGCGCGAGCGAGGCGGGCCCACAGCCCCCGCCGCGGAGCCGAGGGCAAGGUCUGGUGCCAGCAGCCGCGGUAAUUCCAGCUCGGCGGGCGUCGCGUGGCGCUGCUGCAGUUAAAACGCCCGUAGUUGGCCCCCCGCCGCCACGAGGAAACGGGAGCGCUCCAGGCAGGCCCGUUGGACCCGCCGCGUGGGACCGCGCAGCGGGCGCGGCGCGCCGCGGCAGCCCCGAGGAGAGCGGGCGGGGGCACCGGUACCGGCCGGGGACGGGUGAAACAGGAUGAUCCCGCCGAGACCGCCGGCCGCGCAGGCGCCUGCCAAGACCGCCUCUGUCAAUCAAGGGCGAAGGCCGGGGGCUAGAAGGCGAUNCAGACACCAC
rnacentral:rRNA from 1 species